GAUCAGCCACAUUGGGACUGAGACACGGCCCAAACUCCUACGGGAGGCAGCAGUGGGGAAUUUUGGACAAUGGGGGGAACCCUGAUCCAGCAAUGCCGCGUGAGUGAAGAAGGCCUUAGGGUUGUAAAGCUCUUUUACUGAUGAAGAUGAUGACGGUAAUCAGAGAAUAAGUCCCGGCAAACUUCGUGCCAGCAGCCGCGGUAAUACGAAGGGGACUAGCGUUGUUCGGAAUCACUGGGCGUAAAGCGCAAGUAGGUGGUAAUAUAAGUCAGAUGUGAAAUCCUUAAUCUUAAGUUAAGAAUGGCAUUUGAUACUGUAUUACUUGAGGACAGAAGAGGAUAGUGGAAUUCCAAGUGUAGAGGUGAAAUUCGUAGAUAUUUGGAGGAACACCAGUAGCGAAGGCGUCUAUCUGGUCUGUAACUGACACUGAGUUGCGAAAGCAUGGGUAGCAAACAGGAUUAGAUACCCUGGUAGUCCAUGCUGUAAACGAUGAUUGCUAGAUGUUGGUAUAAAAUAUUUAUAUUAGUAUCUGAGCUAACGCAUUAAGCAAUCCGCCUGAGUAGUACGGUCGCAAGAUUAAAACUCAAAGAAAUUGACGGGGACCCGCACAAGCGGUGGAGCAUGUGGUUUAAUUCGAUGAUACGCGAGGAACCUUACCAAGGCUUAAAUGUAUUAUGACCGGUUUGGAAACAGACCCUUCGCAAGACAGAAUACAAGGUGCUGCAUGGUUGUCGUCAGCUCGUGCCGUGAGGUGUCAGGUUAAGUCCUAUAACGAGCGCAACCCCUGUUGUUAGUUGCCAUCGAGUCAAGUCGGGAACUCUAACAAGACUGCCAGUGUAAACUGUGAGGAAGGUGGGGAUGACGUCAAAUCAUCACGGCCC
rnacentral:rRNA from 1 species